rnacentral:rRNA from 1 species
UACAGAGGGUGCAAGCGUUAAUCGGAAUUACUGGGCGUAAAGCGCGCGUAGGUGGUUUGUUAAGUUGAAUGUGAAAUCCCCGGGCUCAACCUGGGAACUGCAUGCAAAACUGGCAAGCUAGAGUAUGGUAGAGGGUGGUGGAAUUUCCUGUGUAGCGGUGAAAUGCGUAGAUAUAGGAAGGAACACCAGUGGCGAAGGCGACCACCUGGACUGAUACUGACACUGAGGUGCGAAAGCGUGGGGAGCAAACAGGA